AGAGUUUGAUCCUGGCUCAGAUUGAACGCUGGCGGCAUGCCUUACACAUGCAAGUCGAACGGCAGCGCGGGGGGUAACUCCUGGCGGCGAGUGGCGAACGGGUGAGUAAUAUAUCGGAACGUGCCCUGGAGUGGGGGAUAACUAGUCGAAAGAUUAGCUAAUACCGCAUACGAUCUACGGAUGAAAGUGGGGGAUUCGCAAGAACCUCAUGCUCGUGGAGCGGCCGAUAUCUGAUUAGCUAGUUGGUAGGGUAAAAGCCUACCAAGGCGACGAUCAGUAGCUGGUUUGAGAGAACGACCAGCCACACUGGGACUGAGACACGGCCCAGACUCCUACGGGAGGCAGCAGUGGGGAAUUUUGGACAAUGGGGGCAACCCUGAUCCAGCAAUGCCGCGUGUGUGAAGAAGGCCUUCGGGUUGUAAAGCACUUUUGUCAGGGAAGAAGCGGUGAGGGC
rnacentral:rRNA from 1 species